rnacentral:piRNA from 1 species
AAUGUUCAGAUGUUGGUCUUGGU